rnacentral:lncRNA from 1 species
GCGGCCAGGAGCCUGCCUCGCAGCGUUCAGCGGAGGAUCCCAGUGAGGCCCGCAGAGACUCAGGUCUGGGCGGGAGGCGGGGCCCAGAAGCUGUGGUCAGACCUGCAGUCCCAGUCCACAAAAUGGGAGGGAGGGUGUAGAUGUGAAUUUGGGGAAAAGCGACCCUGUGGAAUUUCUAGAGUGGAAGAAACGUAGAACUAGCUUUUCUCUUUGCUUAACACAUCCAAAUGGAAAAACAGCGACACCGUUACCUACAUUUACUAGUCCAAUGCGUACAACCUUCUGUAGUAUAUCAAUUGCCAAUGAGUUUAAUGUUUUUUAAAAAAUCACCCCAGAGAAGGGUUCUAAAAAUUCAGAAACCGCAUUACCAGCCCGCAUUGUAAAGUCUGUUUUGUUUUGUUUUGUUUUGUUUGUUUUUCAGACAGUCUUGCUCUGUCGCCCAGGCUGGAGUGGAGUGGUGAAAUCUCAGCUAACAGCAACCUUUGCCUCCUGGGUUCAAGCUAUUCCCCUGCUUCAGUCUCCGGAGUAGCUGGAAUUAUAGGGGCGUGAGCCAAUCGUGUGCGGCCUGGGGUGAACCUUUUUAAUGAGCAUUUAUUAUUUGCCAUUCACAAUGCCAAGUGUCAUGAUGAAUGAAAAUGUCUUGGAAUUAGAGGUGGUGGUUGCACACAUUAUAAAUGUAUUAAAGUACACCUCAAAAUAAAAUCCGAACACAUUAAGUGGUUACUCCCAUUCUUCCCUCUCUCAGCCCCUGGUAAAUGCCAAUCAGCUUUCACACUGUGGUACCUAAUAUGGAUAUUUCAUAUAAAUGGAAUGUGUGACCUCUUGGUCUGUUUUCUUAGCAUGAUCUUUUGCAGGUUCACCUUGUACACCUUGUGGCAUGUAUCAGUUCUUCAUUUCCCUUUAUGGCUACUAUUCCACUGUACCUAGAUGCCACAGUUUUACCUGUCCAUCCACUGAUGGACAUUUGGGUUGUUUCCACUUUCGGGCUAUUGUGAAUAGUGAUUAUAUGAACAUUUGUAUAUAAAUAUUUGUUCAAGUCCCUGUUUUCGAUUCUUUUGGGUAUAAACAUA